GAGCUGUCUGCACCUAGGCCUCGUCAAGCUGCUCCUGACUGACGACCCCGAAAGUGUAUGAGGAGAUGCUUGCCUCAGAUUAGUAGCUCAUCGAUGUAUGUCCGGGCCUACAAUGAAUCCUCCCAGAAUGCUCAAGUCCCAAGACCCGUGACAAAUUAUCAUGGGGGUUAGAGGUAUUUGGACCCUCGCUCGCAAGCACAUCUAACUGCUCUUGUAAUUGCAAAUUCAAAUAAAAUCUCAUAAGAAAUGCUAUAAUACUAA
rnacentral:lncRNA from 1 species